rnacentral:lncRNA from 1 species
GCAGGAGCUGCUCUUCAGGAGCACGACCCCCCUCUUCAGCCGUGAGUGGGCAGCAGCUGGCUUCAGGUUCCACCCGCCACACUCGGAUCUGGCCUACGCUCUGCAGGCAGGAAAGGGAGGAACAAGAGCCAUUCUGGCAGCUGUACAAGCACACAUCAUCACAUACCUGCUCUUCACAAGAGACACAGAAUGUACUCACCUGGAAAGGCUGUGCCGGCUCGGGCGGCACCAGCAGGGGCAGGCACUGGCCACGGCCCUGGCAGAGACCCUGUGGGCAGCAGCAGGAGGUGGCAGAGCCGUCGUGUGCCUUGUCACUGCCCCUAUCACCGUGGUGCCACGC